UGCAUUUGCAAGCAAUUCUUUGCUGUCUCCUGUUUCCCAGCCACCCUCCUCCCCGCCCAGCUCUGCCACAGUAAUCUCUUACUUCUCUGAUUCCACUUACAGACCUUCACCCAGGCCUUGGACAGAUUUUAUAAUCAUCCUCUCCUGUGCGACCUCCAUUACCUGAACUUGGAACUACCCGACUUUUAUCUCAGGCGGCAGGACACACCAGCAUCAUAAAGUCAGGCUGCUGUAGCUGCGGGGUUGGGAAAAGCAGACUGGACUGGAGUUGCUGCUUCUGGCUCUCAGCACCAGAACAGUCUCUGAGGCUCAGGGUACAAAAGAAAAUAAUGUUCGUGGGAUGAGAGAAGCAUAACCUUGAUGGAAAGGGAUGGAUGACAGAGGCCUCCGGUAUUUCUUACUUGAUCCAGAAAACCUUCCUGGGGGCAGGGAUGCUGGUGAGCAAGAGGGUUGUUAAGAGAAGAGCUGAGGGGCUUCCCUGGUGGCGCAGUGGUUAAGAAUCCGCCUGCCAAUGCAGGGGACACGAGUUCAAGCCCUGGUCCAGGAAGAUCCCACAUGCCACGGAGGAACUAAGCCACGGAGCACAACAACUACUGAGCCUGCGCUCUAGAGCCCACAAGCCACAACUACUGAGCCUGCAUGCUGCAACUACUGAAGCCCACGUGCCUAGUGCCCAUGUUCCAAAACAAGAGAAGCCACCACACUGAGAAGCCCACGCACUGCAACAAAGAAUAGCCCCUGCUUGCCGCAACUAGAGAAAGCCUGUGUGCAGCAGCAAAGACCCAACGAAGCCAAAAUAAAAUAAAAUAAGCAUUAAAAAAAAAGAGAGAGAGAGAGAAGAGCUGAAAGGACCCACCAGCUUCCAACAGAAGUCAGGGCAAUAGACUGAGGGGAGGAACUGGGCUCACCAAGGCCCCAUGUCUGGGGCUUUGCGUAUUGCAGGCCCCUAGUAUUUGGUGAAAAAAAUGAA